AGGAUGAUCAGCCACAUCGGGACUGAGACACGGCCCGAACUCCUACGGGAGGCAGCAGUGGGGAAUAUUGGACAAUGGGGGCAACCCUGAUCCAGCCAUGCCGCGUGUGUGAAGAAGGCCCUCGGGUUGUAAAGCACUUUCAGCGAGGAAGAACGCCUAUCGGUUAAUACCCGGUAGGAAAGACAUCACUCGCAGAAGAAGCACCGGCUAACUCCGUGCCAGCAGCCGCGGUAAUACGGAGGGUGCAAGCGUUAAUCGGAAUUACUGGGCGUAAAGCGCGCGUAGGUGGCUUGAUAAGCCGGUUGUGAAAGCCCCGGGCUCAACCUGGGAACGGCAUCCGGAACUGUCAGGCUAGAGUGCAGGAGAGGAAGGUAGAAUUCCCGGUGUAGCGGUGAAAUGCGUAGAGAUCGGGANGGAAUACCAGNUGGCGAAGGCGGCCUUCUGGACUGACACUGACACUGAGGUGCGAAAGCGUGGGUAGCAAACAGGAUUAGAUACCCUGGUAGUCCACGCCGUAAACGAUGUCGACCAGCCGUUGGGUGCCUAGAGCACUUUGUGGCGAAGUUAACGCGAUAAGUCGACCGCCUGGGGAGUACGGCCGNCAAGGUUAAAACUCAAAUGAAUUGACGGGGGCCCGCACAAGCGGUGGAGCAUGUGGUUUAAUUCGAUGCAACGCGAAGAACCUUACCUACCCUUGACAUCUACAGAAGCCGGAAGAGAUUCUGGUGUGCCUUCGGGAACUGUAAGACAGGUGCUGCAUGGCUGUCGUCAGCUCGUGUUGUGAAAUGUUGGGUUAAGUCCCGUAACGAGCGCAACCCUUGUCCUUAUUUGCCAGCGAGUAAUGUCGGGAACUCUAAGGAGACUGCCGGUGACAAACCGGAGGAAGGUGGGGACGACGUCAAGUCAUCAUGGCCCUUACGGGUAGGGCUACACACGUGCUACAAUGGCCGGUACAAAGGGCUGCGAGCUCGCGAGAGUCAGCGAAUCCCUUAAAGCCGGUCUCAGUCCGGAUCGGAGUCUGCAACUCGACUCCGUGAAGUCGGAAUCGCUAGUAAUCGUGAAUCAGAAUGUCACGGUGAAUACGUUCCCGGGCCUUGUACACACCGCCCGUCACACCAUGGGAGUGGACUGCACCAGAAGUGGUUAGCCUAACGCAAGAGGGCGAUCACCACGGUGUGGUUCAUGACUGGGGUGAAGUCG
rnacentral:rRNA from 1 species